CAGGGCUGUUCUCUUCAUCUUCCUGCUUCAACAUUAUCGGGAACGUGUUGGAUGGACUUUUAAACUUAGGAGGAAGCAGCGGCACUACAGGCGGGACCAGCGCUGGGGCGACGUCUGGGACCACGGGCGUGACCACGGGCGUGACCACGGGCGUGACCACGGGUGGAACAACAGGUGGAACCACGAGUGGGACCACAAGCUCCACAGCAGGCACAUUAUCAGUGCCGCUUAUUGUCACACGAAGGAAUCUAAUCGUCCAAGUGAAGCUGAAUUCAGGAACUACCGUGAAUUUGAAAGACCCUUUGGUGAAAGCCUCCAUCUUAGAGCAGAUUAAACUGAAACUGAGCAAGCAGAACGUGCCAGCUGAUGCCAUCCGUAACUGGACAAGUCUUUCAGCUACAGUAGGCAGCUAGAGGGGCCAAGGAACUCUCCAGAAACAAUCAGACAGCGCCAUCACCAGUUCCCAGUAAUCAUUGUAGGGGCAUAUAGAAGCACAUCUUUGAUCAACAUGCAUUGAAUUUUUUUCGGGGGGGGGCAAAAGGCAUGAAAUGUACUAAAGAAAAGUAGACGUCUUUCAGAUGAAGAUUUAAUACAGAUGUUUUAUAUGUUUCAUUGUGUUCAUUUGUCAGAAACGUCCAUACAAAGUACCAAGUUACCGUCUUUUAAAUGAGC
rnacentral:lncRNA from 1 species